rnacentral:lncRNA from 1 species
CACACAGAGUCAUCCACUGCACUCACAGGAAUGCCAUUUAACUUUGCCUUUCUCUAACCCAGGUGCCACCCCUAAUAAAGGCCACAGGCUUGGAAUCAGGAUGAAGCUGGAGCCUGAAGGAGCCAGGCACACUCAGGAGAGGAUUCUCAUGGGUUAAAUCUGGGCCAGAGGGCCCAAUCCCGUGUGAGGGGAUUCCCCCGAGCAGGAAGUGAAUCUGGAUAUUAGCAGUCAAGGUGAGCCGUGGAGAGAAGUGGUUGUUAUUGCUCAGCUCUCAAGAACAACACUUUUUUCAUCAGAUUCAUCGUGUCACAAGAG